rnacentral:rRNA from 1 species
AUUGAACGCUGGCGGCAGGCCUAACACAUGCAAGUCGAACGGUAACAGGAAGCAGCUUGCUGCUUCGCUGACGAGUGGCGGACGGGUGAGUAAUGUCUGGGAAGCUGCCUGAUGGAGUGGGAUAACUACUGGAAACGGUAGCUAAUACCGCAUAAUGUCGCAAGACCAAAGAGGGGGACCUUCGGGCCUCUUGCCACCGGAUGUGCCCAGAUGGGAUUAGCUUGUUGGUGGGGUAACGGCUCACCAAGGCGACGAUCCCUAGCUGGUCUGAGAGGAUGACCAGCCACACUGGAACUGAGACACGGUCCAGACUCCUACGGGAGGCAGCAGUGGGGAAUAUUGCACAAUGGGCGCAAGCCUGAUGCAGCCAUGCCGCGUGUAUGAAGAAGGCCUUCGGGUUGUAAAGUACUUUCAGCGGGGAGGAAGGGAGUAAAGUUAAUACCUUUGCUCAUUGACGUUACCCGCAGAAGAAGCACCGGCUAACUCCGUG